UCACAUUUAUCCCUUCACGAGUCAGCCACUCGUUUCUUCCUCCUCCGUCUUCCUUAUCUCUCUGCUCUAUCUCCUCGGCUCACGACCUCAGAGGCGAAGCACUUGUGCAUGCUGAAUCCCUUCCAUGCCGAGCCCUAGAUGACCACCUACAUGCAUCUAACCAACAGACCAUGGAUGAACCCCACACUCCUCGUCACCUACCUCCCGCUUCCUCUCCUAGCAGCCAUGGAAGAGCUCCAUCCCCACACUUUCAUGGUGCUGCGAGCUUGAGGGUUGCAACCCUUCGACGGCGAAGCCUGCAAAUGUGGACGAGAUGACCGGUGCUGGCAAGGCUGACGAGACUUUUUUGAUACAACCGGUGGGUUCGCCCGAGCCACGGUGAGUUGCACUGGUCGAUGGAAAAGCUGCAACCAGACGCAAGCCGGCGAGGCGAGAUGCUGGCGUGGGGGCAUGACACCCAGCUGCGGUGGCGGUUUCAGCGGACUACACAGCAGAGAUGAGUGCGGUGCUUUUUCUCCUGGGCGUUGACCAAGCAUUGGGGGAGAGACAGAAAAACGUUUCGCUAGGAAUGAACGACUGGCAUGUCUUUAAUCUAACGGCCCCGCGGUGACCGGCCCAAAGUUGGGCUGGGGUGCCGGCGCCUAUCAUUGCCCCUCGCGAAAAGGAAAAACAAUCAUCGAACAAUAAACAAGAUUUAGCAUACAAGACCGAGGUAAUUAAUUGCCAAUUGUCUUUUUUUUUAGAAAAUUAAUUGUCAAUUGUCAGAUGCGUUGCACAUGGCUGGGCCGGCCAGAUGGAUCCGCCCCCUGGCAGUAUUAAUUUCAAAAUUGGCAAAAAGCUAAAAUCCGAACGAACGGAUUUUUGCAACAGAUUUUCACGAUCCGGAUCUCGUCCAUUUUGAAUCGGACGAUGCUUAUUGAUCGUGCGGUUUUAACUCGAGCGAACACGAUUAUUCGUUGAUUUCCUUUCAUUUUUUCUCCACGAUCCCGUAGUUAAUGACAAUUGGAUUAUGCAAUCCUACCGCUUUAACUGUGAUCCUAAUUAUACACAUGUGAUUCUAAUUCUAUGCAUGAUUAUCCGUAUCGUAAUUAAUGGGUUGCCUUAAUUAUCUCGAUCCAUUUAGCAGCGUGUCCUAAUUUGAAACAUAAUUAGUGAGUCACCUCCUAAUUUUAUGCAUGAGUUGAUCGGUACCGCUUUAGCUGUGAUCCUAAUUAUAUGCACGUGAUUCCAAUUAUAUGCAUGAUUAUCCAUAUCGUAAUUAUUGGGUUGCCUUAAUUAUCUCGACCCAUUUAAUUGCGUCUCCUAAUUUGAAGGUAAACGUUUAGAGCCGAUGCACCGGCCGAACGCUCGGCCGGCCGCAUCUACACUGGACAAUGGGGCCACACACCACCGCUCUAGUAUUCUUCUUAUCUUCACGAGUCGUGCCUAUCCAUUCAUUCGUUGUUGCUUAUCUCCUCGCAUGUCUUGUUCCCCUGCGACAGCCUCCAGGAUAGUUCGCCGGUGAUGACCGCCAUCGAUCCCACACCAGCCUGCCCGUCGCCCAUCCAGCGGCAGCCUCCCGGCAAAUCGACGCUAUUUUAGGAGACCCCGACCGUGCGCGACAAGGGAGGAGUGGGAGGGAGGUCGUUGCCUGUGGCACCGAUGAGGUGCCGUGCUGGGGAACGGAAAGUGGAUUCGCCGGCCGGUGGAUUCGCUUCAACCGGCGACGGUGGUGGUGAGCGGCAACGGCGGUGGCCACCAUGGAUUUUAUUUUGCUGCGUCAAUUCUUUUUGCUGGAACCACUUCAUUUUUUUUGCUCGAACCUUCUUUCGAUUUUGCUACAAAUUGAGAGAGAUGAUGCUCUGUUGCUGCCAUGAUUUUUUGCAACCUCCUUUGUUUUUUGCUGGAACCACUUUUGUUUUUUGCUGGAACCAUCAUUCAACUUUGCUGCAUUGGGCGAAGAUGGUUGUUUGGCGGCGACGGUGGUGCUCGCCAUGAAUCUUUUGUUGGAACCUCUUCAGAAUUUUUGCUUGAACCGUUUUUCAAUUUUGCUGCAAUUCAAGACGAUGGUGGUGCCGUCGAUGUCAAGAUUUUUGCUACAUUUAAUUUUUGCUAGAACCUCUUCUCAUUUUUGCUACAACCGGCAAUCACAAAAGCUACAACCGGCGAUAAAUUUUGCUACAAUGGUGACAUGGUGAUCGAUGAGCCUUUUCUACUAGAACCAACACAAUUUUUUGCUACUACCUGCGGAGAUUUUUGUUGCCACCAGCAAACCCGAAGGAGAGUACUUUUUAGCCAGCUCGUCACCGGGGUGUUGCAACCGGCGACCGGCGUACGACCAUCCCACUGAUGUUGCCAUCGCCAGUGGGGAAGCUGCAACCGCGAGGGAAAGUUUGUUGCAUGUGUGGAUCUACGAGGAAGCCGUGAGACGAUAAUGGAGAGGCCGGCGACUAGCGGCGAGGGUGGCAAGCGGCAACCAUGGCGAGCCACCGACGGUGCAGGUUACGGAAGAGGCGCGGCGAGCCACGAGCAACGCGGAGUGUGGCAGACGACGACGGCAGCCGGAGUCAACGAUGCAUUUUUUCUCUGUUGUUUUCCUGACGAAGUGGGGUCAAAAAGUUACAGAUCAAACGGUUUAAGUCGGCUGAUCGUACGGCAUUGCUUCGACCGGCCCAAAUCCAGGCCAGUGCGCCGGCACCUAGUAGCACCCUAAUUUGAAACGUAAUUAGUUGGUCACCUCCUAAUUUUAUUCAUUAGUUGAUCAGUACUCUUCCCAUCCUAAUUUCCCAAGCAAAAAAUAGUGCACCAGAUGGGAUUCAAACUCUCAACCUAACACAACUAAGACCACUAAACAAACCACGCUAACCAACUAGCAAGGCAGCUACUUGUGUGUAUUGUAUUGCUUUUUAGCAUACACUUAUAGUUUGCUUUCGGUCUUU